GAGCUGCGGGGUAGGAGGCGAGUCCGGCGCUCUCCGAUCAUUCGUAGGCUCCAGCGGCGUCCAACCUCGGAAUAGCUGUGAAAGCUGCUGGACCUGGUGGUCGGGUUCUCUGUUCUCCCUUUUCUUCCUUGCCACUUUUAGUUGGCCCCCAAGAUCUAGGAGUCGGCAGGAGGGACCUGAGCCGCGGCCCUAGGAUGGGAAACAGUGCCCUCCGCGCUCAUGUGGAAACCGCGCAGAAAACUGGUGUCUUUCAGCUUAAGGACCGCGGGCUGACCGAGUUCCCCUCAGAGUUGCAGAAGCUGACCAGCAAUCUAAGGACCAUCGACUUGUCCAACAACAAGAUCGAGAGCCUACCGCCUAUGAUUAUAGGGAAGUUCACUCUGCUGAAGAGCCUCUCCUUGAACAACAACAAACUGACUGUUCUUCCUGAUGAGUUAUGCAAUCUGAAAAAACUAGAGAUGCUAAGCCUAAACAACAAUCACUUGAGAGAGCUACCAUCUACCUUUGGGCAACUGUCAGCCCUCAAGACCCUGAGCCUCUCUGGGAACCAGCUGCGAGCCCUACCACCACAACUCUGUAGCCUAAGGCACUUGGAUGUGGUGGAUCUCUCCAAGAACCAGAUUCGGAGCAUACCUGACACAGUGGGGGAGCUGCAGGUCAUCGAACUCAAUCUCAACCAGAACCAGAUAUCUCAGAUCUCAGUAAAGAUAUCUUGCUGUCCUCGUCUUAAAGUUCUUCGCCUGGAAGAGAACUGUCUUGAGCUCAGCAUGCUUCCACAGAGCAUCCUCAGUGACUCCCAGAUCUGUCUGCUUGCUGUGGAAGGCAACCUUUUUGAAAUAAAGAAACUUCGAGAACUGGAAGGCUAUGAUAAGUACAUGGAGAGGUUCACGGCCACUAAGAAGAAGUUUGCAUGAUGUUCUCCAGGAGCAUGGGAACCAUAUAGGACACUGACUUGGAAUCUGUUGCAAUCUGGCUGAAUCAGAGGCUCCUGUUGUUGUCAAGGAUUAUCUGCAGUCUCUUCAGCACCUCCACUCUACGUAGUAUCUUCCAGUCGAUCCUGCCGCUUGCCACUACCCUGGAGUUUGUGCCACUAAGUUGGAAUACCUUGAAAGUUACCUGUUUUUAAAGAACUGUUGAGUAGCUGCCCAUGUAAUAAUAACAACAAUAGCAACAGUAAUAAGAAUGAUUUUAAUCUUAUUUGUCUUCCUUCAAAGGGUCUUAACUGCUUUAAAGGUAAUUAUUUCCCAAACUUGACUAGGCACAGUGCAACCUGGAUGCCUGUGAACACACAGAUGCAUAAGUUACACACUGAAAAUUUUGCUUUAGUAUGUAUGGAGUAGAGCCUGUAAAUCUUUUGUUAUUAUUGUUUUAUUGAAAUUCAAAAGCUUAUUUAGCUCCCCAGCCAGGGGUAAGGGACUGUGUAAGGACUUCCAAUCUGUUAUAGAAAGAGUAUUUUAGUUACUCUGGUAGUCUGCCUUAGUAUUUCUAUACAUUGGGAUGGUAAGGAAUUAAUCUGAAGGAAGCAAAAGUAUACACCAAGAUUUUAUUUUUUUAAAAAGCCAUAAGAUUUGUGGUAUAUUGACUUGAAUCCCAAUCCCAGACCUGUCUUUCCAGAGCUGUAGAGCCUUAAGCAAACUUCCAUUGCAAGUGUCCUUUUUCUUAUAUGUAAAACUAAGAUAAAAUAAACAUACUGUAGUUAAUAUUAAUACUUCACGGGGUUGUGAAAAGAUCCUGUUGAUAAUGGAUGUAAACUGCUUUGAAAAGCAUUAGUCAAAUAUUUUUAUUCUUUGGCUUCAACCUCAACCUGAUCCUUACUUAAAAGUCCAUGCCUUUAAGCGCACAAUUACCAACUGGCAUGUUUACUCUUCUGGCCCAUUAACACUCCCUAGCUUUGAGGUAUCUGAAUAUAGUUAGAUUAUGGCUACAUAAAAAAACAUCAGGCCCAGGUUGUUUUGGUCUACAGUAAGAAAGAAAAGAUUCUGAUGUGUGACCGAAUUCUUUUGCUUACUAAAAUUUAUGGUCUUUCUGGGAAGCAAUUAGACUUCAUAAUAAAAUGCUUAAGCAAAUUUAUAAUUUUUAAAAUCAUUUUUAUCAUUAAAUUGCAUUGGAAUUUAAUGCAAUUAAAUUAUGAUAGAAUUAAGAAUGCCAUCUGGGGGAUGCCUGGGUGGCUCAGUCAGUUAAGCAUCGUAAUCUUGAUUUUGGCUCAUGUCAUGAUCUCAUGGUUUGUGGGAUUAAGCCCCAUGUUGGGCUCUGCGCUGACAGUGAAGAGACUGCUUGACAUUCUCUCUCUGCUCCUCCCCUACUCAUGUGCGCGUAUGCUCUCUCUCAAAAUAAAUAAAUAUACAUUAAUGAAUAAAAAAAUAAUGCCAUCUGGAAAGUUAGAUUUAUCCUGUCAGUUUUGAGGUGUCAAAUAGUCUUUAUCCCUUUUUUUCCAGAUAAAUCCCAUUCAAAAAUAGCAAGUUUGAAAUAAGGAUUUGAAAUAUCCCUUAAUCAAUUAAAGAAGCUGUUGUAAAAGCAGGAAACAAGUCUCAAGAUAUGAUCACAGUAAUUUUAACAAUUUAUACAGUUUUGGUUGUUAACAUUAAUAUUAACAGAAUAAAAACAACAAAAAAAGCUCAA